rnacentral:lncRNA from 1 species
ACGCAGCGCGGUUGCUGGGCACCUCGACUAUCACCUGACCGUAGUAAUAUCUCCCGCUACGCGCGUUGUGACCAAUGCUGCAUACAGGAGAUGAGGGAGGACGGCCAGACACCUGGAAGCCGGAAAAUGGUGAGUGUGCGGGGCCGGUGUCCCGAGACCUGAGGAGGGACAGGUUGGAACCGGCCGGAACCGGCUGUGGCGGGACCCGGGGCUCCCCUCGGCGACUCUGGGGUCUGGGACCCGGGUCCCUCUGGCGCAGCUGGGCCCUCAGUGCCCUCGGCCGCAGAGUGGGGCUGGGCUGGCAUCCGGGACCCCGGGCAUCCUGUCCCGUUCCUGCGCGACGCCUGCGGCCCCGGCCUCAGCCUCGGCGCCCUCUCUGGGCAGCUGCACGCCGCAGCCUCGUGUCUCCCCAGAUUGCACGGGAGCCCCGGGAGGGUCAUGGGGAGGAUUCCGACUCGUGUGUGGGGUUCGUGCGUGGGAGGAGCAGUGUUCUGUGUGAUCCUCAGUCCCUCCUUUCUCCAUAAAGGUCACCCAUCUUCCCUUGAGGUUUCCAAAUGUAUGGAAAGCAGGGUGUCAAAUCCAUAAUCCUGUCUCCAGACUAUCUCUUCCUGGGGCUGGCAGUAAAUUCCUAAGUUUGCGGAUCCCUUCCCGCAUUCCCAAAGUCUAACGCCCCCUCUCCAGUUCACAGCGUCAUUGUCAAUUGUUUGGCCUCUGGUGCAUUUCACACGGACGCCGUGUUUCUCAUUUUUCCGAAGAACCAGGGAUGACUCGUUUUAACGGAUUUAUUUUUUGUUUGCGGAUAUUUUACAUGGGAGGAAGGCAAAGAAUACCCACCUGGAAUUGUUACAUAAAUCCUUAUGACUCUCCUUCCAGUAUCUCUCCUGAGCACAGACACACUGCAGGAACUCUUGGGUUGGGGCUCCUCUUUGGAAACUUCCCUGGGUGACCUGUCUUUUUUAGCAGUUUCAGGUCGGCACUGCCCGUCCUUGACUUUGUAUUCUUGAAAAGAUUUGACCACUCACUUGUGUGUCAUUUUCUUCAUGUAUCUGAAAGGUAUAUAAUCAAUAGCUACUAAAAGUAUUAUAAUUUUUUAUUUCUAAUUUUUGUGGGUACAUAGUAGGUGUAUAUAUUUAUGGAGUACACGAGAUGUUUUGAUGCAGGCAUGCAACGUGAAAUAAGCACAUCGUGAAGAAAGGGAUAUCCCCUCAAGCAUCUGAGUUGCAAACAAUCCAGUUACACUCUAUAAGUUAUUUUAAAAUGUACAGUUCUGUGUGGUUUUUUUUUCCACCCAUUAAUUGUCCUCUCCUUUCUCUCAGGCUCCCACUACCUUUCCCAGCUUCUAAUAACCACCCUACUCUCUAAGUCCA